rnacentral:misc_RNA from 1 species
GAUGAAGAACGUAGCGAAAUGCGAUAAGUAAUGUGAAUUGCAGAAUUCAGUGAAUCAUUGAAUCUUUGAACGCACCUUGCGCCCUUUGGCUAUUCCGAAGGGCAUGCCUGUUUGAGUAUCAUGAACACCUCAACUCUCAUGGCUUGCCAUGAUGAGCUUGGACUUUUGGGGGUCUUGCUGGCCUGUGGUCAGCUCCUCUCAAAUGAAUUAGCCUGCCAGUGUUUGGUGGCAUCACAGGUGUGAUAACUAUCUACGCUUGUGGUUUUCCACCAGGUAACCUUCAGUGAUGAAGGUUCGCUGGGGCUCAUAAACGUCUCUCCUCAGUGAGGACAGCUCUUUGAACGUUUGAUCUCAAAUCAGGUAGGACUACCCGCUGAACUUAAGCAUAUUAAUAAGCGGAGGA